UCUAGUGGCGAUGAUGCAAAGGUUACACCCGUUCCCAUUCCGAACACGAAGGUUAAGCUUUGAGAUGUCGAUGGUACUGCUCGGGAGACUGAGUGGAAGAGUAGAGAGUUGCUAGGU
rnacentral:rRNA from 1 species